GCCGGCUUAGCUCAGUUGGUAGAGCAGCUGACUUGUAAUCAGAAGGUCAAGGGUUCAACUCCUUUAGCCGGCACCA
rnacentral:tRNA from 1 species